rnacentral:tRNA from 1 species
GUGAAUAUAGUUUACCCAAAACACUAGACGGUGACUCUAGAAACAGAAGCCCCAACUUCUUAUUUACC